AGUUGAGGCGUCCUUUUGCUUCAGAUGCGGUAUUAAUGUCCGCCCAUCUGCGGUCGAAAUUGUUUUACCCUUUUUCAUUAACCCUUUGUAACUUCACUUGAACUGAACUAUGUAACAUUGACUGCGGCUGUUCUUGUUGGCUUCGGUCACGAGCAGUAUUCCAAACGCGGGCUUGUUAUCACAUAUUACGAAACGCACGAACAACUCUUAACAACGGAUAUCUUGGUUCUCGUAACGAUGAAGAACGCAGCAAAAUGCGAUACGUAAUGCGAAUUGCAGAAUUCAGUGAAUCAUCAAAUCUUUGAACGCAAAUUGCGCUCUCGGGAUAGGCCUGAGAGCACGCCUCUUUGAGCAUCGAUUCUACCACAAGUCGACGACGUCCUUGCAAAAGGAUGUGCAGUCGGACAUUGAGCCUUGCCGGCCGUUCGCGGCUAAGCUGGCUUCAAAUAGAGCGAGAUACACAGCGAUCCUUCUGACACAUCAGGAGUGAUUUGUGACGUGGAUAACUUCACUACUCGUGAACCUUCCAAUACGUGACAGUCUCUCAUUCAACUGGUGUGCCAGUGGGAAGCAACGCGUGUCGGACCGUCAUUCGUGACAACUCUUUUGAAUUAGAUCUCAAAUGAAGCGAGAAAACCCGCUAAACUUAAGCAUAUCAAUAAGC
rnacentral:rRNA from 1 species